GGUCCGUGCUCCGGCGGUGCUGGCGGUCUCCGUCCUGCCUGUGCGGUGCCAGGCCACAGCAGGUGCGCUCCACCGCAUCUCUCAGGUGGAGAGGGCCGGCAGGCCUGAGAUGAGCUGCUUCUUGCACCACCGCGCCAUUUGGGAUACAGUUAGGGGUAUGCAGAGGCGUCUCCUCCGGACCUAGAGUUUUGUCCUUGAUCAGAGUCGAGGCAAUAGUUCCCCCUUGUAAAUGAAUUCCUGUGGCUACCACGUCAAUCUCCUAGAUAGUAAUAAGUCUAAUCAGAAACACCAUACAGCUGCUUUCCACACCAGGGCAGUAGGAGAAUUACAUGCGAAUCUUGAACACUGAAGAAGAGGGCUGAAGGAGGAGCUAAACCUGGUGAGUGCCUUACUUACAGAUCCCUG
rnacentral:lncRNA from 1 species